CUGCGCCGCAACGCCGAGCGCACCGACAUCUGCCUGCUCAAAGGUGGCUAUGAGAGGUUUUCCUCCGAGUACCCAGAAUUCUGUUCCAAAACCAAGGCCCUGGCAGCCCUCCCACCUGCUGUGCCCCCCAGCACUGCGGAAUCCCUGGACGUGGGCUGCAGCUCCUGUGGAACCCCACUGCACGACCAGGGGGGUCCCGUGGAGAUCCUUCCCUUCCUCUACCUCGGCAGUGCCUACCACGCCGCCCGGAGGGACAUGCUGGAUACCCUGGGGAUCACUGCCCAAACCACUUUGAAGGACACUAUCAGUACAAGUGCAUCCCAGUGGAAGACAACCACAAGGCGGACAUCAGCUCCUGGUUCAUGGAGGCCAUCGAGUACAUCGGUAGGUUGGCGCUGUGGCGGACGCCAAGGGCCGGAGGAUGGGAGGGAACCAUGAGUCCUCACCGUUGAAGGAUGGACAUAGGGGGCGCUGUGUCCAGCGUGUACCCAUUUCCCCUCUGCCUCUAAGGGAGGCUGGCCGCCUGGAUGUUGUGUUGGGGUCAGAUAGGAAGAUCGACUCCCACUCCCGUGCUGUUAGCCUAUCCCGCCAAUAACGUUCUCCUCGCGUCCGGAUGUCUCUAUGAUGAGGCUUUGGGGAUGGGGAGGAAGACAAAUAAAGGGAGAGUUGGGACAUUGUUUUUGUUCCUG
rnacentral:lncRNA from 1 species